GACCUCAGAUCAGGUAGGGAUACCCGCUGAACUUAAGCAUAUCAAUAAGCGGAGGAA
rnacentral:rRNA from 1 species